GACGAACGCUGUUGGCGUGCUUAACACAUGCAAGUCGAACGGAAAGGCCCUGCUUUUGUGGGGUGCUCGAGUGGCGAACGGGUGAGUAACACGUGAGUAACCUGCCCUUGACUUUGGGAUAACUGCAGGAAACUGGGGCUAAUACCGGAUAGGAGCUCCUGCUGCAUGGUGGGGGUUGGAAAGUUUCGGCGGUUGGGGAUGGACUCGCGGCUUAUCAGCUUGUUGGUGGGGUAGUGGCUUACCAAGGCUUUGACGGGUAGCCGGCCUGAGAGGGUGACCGGCCACAUUGGGACUGAGAUACGGCCCAGACUCCUACGGGAGGCAGCAGUGGGGAAUAUUGCACAAUGGGCGGAAGCCUGAUGCAGCAACGCCGCGUGCGGGAUGACGGCCUUCGGGUUGUAAACCGCUUUCGCCUGUGACGAAGCGUGAGUGACGGUAAUGGGUAAAGAAGCACCGGCUAACUACGUGCCAGCAGCCGCGGUGAUACGUAGGGUGCGAGCGUUGUCCGAAUUUAUUGGGCGUAAAGGGCUCGUAGGUGGUUGAUCGCGUCGGAAGUGUAAUCUUGGGGCUUAACCCUGAGCGUGCUUUCGAUACGGGUUGACUUGAGGAAGGUAGGGGAGAAUGGAAUUCCUGGUGGAGCGGUGGAAUGCGCAGAUAUCAGGAGGAACACCAGUGGCGAAGGCGGUUCUCUGGGCCUUUCCUGACGCUGAGGAGCGAAAGCGUGGGGAGCGAACAGGCUUAGAUACCCUGGUAGUCCACGCUGUAAACGGUGGGUACUAGGUGUGGGGUCCAUUCCACGGGUUCCGUGCCGUAGCUAACGCUUUAAGUACCCCGCCUGGGGAGUACGGCCGCAAGGCUAAAACUCAAAGGAAUUGACGGGGCCCCGCACAAGCGGCGGAGCAUGCGGAUUAAUUCGAUGCAACGCGUAGAACCUUACCUGGGUUUGACAUGGAUCGGGAGUGCUCAGAGAUGGGUGUGCCUCUUUUGGGGUCGGUUCACAGGUGGUGCAUGGCUGUCGUCAGCUCGUGUCGUGAGAUGUUGGGUUAAGUCCCGCAACGAGCGCAACCCUUGUUCACUGUUGCCAGCACGUUAUGGUGGGGACUCAGUGGAGACCGCCGGGGUCAACUCGGAGGAAGGUGGGGAUGACGUCGAGUCAUCAUGCCCCUUAUGUCCAGGGCUUCACGCAUGCUACAAUGGCUGGUACAGAGAGUGGCGAGCCUGUGAGGGUGAGCGAAUCUCGGAAAGCCGGUCUCAGUUCGGAUUGGGGUCUGCAACUCGACCUCAUGAAGUCGGAGUCGCUAGUAAUCGCAGAUCAGCAACGCUGCGGUGAAUACGUUCCCGGGGCU
rnacentral:rRNA from 1 species